GAUGACAUUUUGGACACGCCAUUAACGUGUUAGAACAUUUGUUGUUGUUGUCUUGACAAUAUUUUCUUUCUUGUUCAUGGAAGACAUAAGUCAAGUUUGUUCAGUAUGGGUUGGAUCAGAAACAGGGCUUGAAAGGCCUAGAGUGUGUGGGUGUUUAAAGGGGCUGGCAGGAGGGGUGUGGGGGCUUCAGUCCCACCCUUCUCUCUGGUGGCUUCUUGUGGUUUGGACCACUUUCUGAGAGUACACAGCCUGGAGGACCGCUCUCUACGGAACAAGGUGUAUCUGAAGUCACGACUCAACUGUGGGCUUCUGUCCAGCAGAGAUCUCGAGCUGGGCAGUACAGGAGUGAAUGGAGAUGUGGAGGAAGUAAAAGAAGAGAGAAGGAGAACUGGAUGAGGUGUGGAACACUAUGGGGAUGAUAAAAGAGAAGGUGAAGAAAAGAGAAACAGAAGAUGAAGAUGUUGUUGAAGAAGCAGACAAGAAGACUAAGAAGAGGCAUCAAACACUGUAUUUAUUUCUGAAACAUAUUAUACCCUUAUAUUAAACUAAAUAUGGCUGAUACUGCACUAGACACGACCACAACCACCGAGAUUUCAGAAAAGGAGCUCAAAGAGAAGAAAGGGGAGGUGGAGGAGAAGGAUAAUGGCAGUCGGGUGAAUCAAAGGAAGCUGAAGUGAAGGAAUAAUGUGCGGAGUAUGUACUCCUCCGCAACGCUGUCUACAUGGUGCGUUCAACUUCACCUUGAAGAGCUUGUGCUUUAUAUAUGCUUUAAAUAAUGGCACCGGGGGGGAUGGCUGCCAUUUUAUGGGCUCCUAACCAACUGUGCUAUUUUGUUGUUUCUAACUUAUUUUGUACAUAAUGUUGCUGCUACUGUCUUUUAUGACCGAAAAGAGCUUCUAGACAUCAAAACAGUGAUUACUCGCCUCGAACUGGAUUCUUUAACGAAUCCGACGCAGAGGAUAUACUGCAUUCUCGAGACCAGGCCCAAACCCCGUCAUUUGUGUGAAGAAAAGACGGAGAUAAAGGGGGUGGAGGUCGGGCUUCCUUCUGAAAAUGGAUGAUCUACGAUUAAGAAUAUCCUACCAAUGUGACAUUCAAAUCUGUAUCUAUCUUAUGUUUCACCAAGUCGUGGCUGAACGACGACACGGAUACUAUAGAGCUGGCUGGGUAUUCUGGGCAUCGGCAGGACAGAGAAGCUACGUCUGGUAAGACGAGGGGCGGGGAGGUGUGUCUAUUUGUAAAUAAGAGCUGGUGCACAAUUUCUAAUAUUAAAGAAGUCUCGAGGUACUGCUCGUCUGAGAUAGUGUGGUUUACAGCUUAUCAUGAGGUAUUCUACCUACCAAGAGUUCUCAUCUAUAUCUAUUUACCACCCCAAACCGAUGCUGGCACUAAGACCGCACUCAACGAUCUACAUAUAAGGCCCUAAGUAAAGAAAACAAUGCUCAUCCAGAAGUGGCGCUCCUAGUGGCUGGGGACUUAAAUGCAGGCAAACUUAAAUCCGUUUGACCAAAUUUUGACCAGCAUGCACAUGUGCAACCAGAGGGAUACAUACAAAACUCUCCCUCACUGUCCAUUUGGCAAAUCUGACCAUAAUUCUACCUCCUGAUUCCUGCUUACAAGCAAAAACUAAAGCAGGAAGUACCAGUGACUUG